AAAAUGAUUGCAGUUUUUGCCAUUAAAAGUAAUGGCAAAAAAAAAAAAAACUUUUAAUGGCAAAAACUGUGAUUACUUUUG
rnacentral:miRNA from 1 species